UAUCAACGGCAUCACGAGGAUCCUACUGUCUCCCCCCUCUAAUCAGUGAAACUGAUCUCCCCGUGAAGAAGCGGGGAUAUACAUAUAAGACGAGAAGACCCCAUGGAGCUUUAAACCUGACAGCACCCGCUCAUUCUAUACCCCAUUAUUUGCCCGACCCCUGUCUGCUCAGUUUUAGGUUGGGGUGACCACGGAGUAUAAAAUAACCUCCAUGAAGAAGGGGAUAUUUCCCUUAUUAGAGAACCACACUUCCAAGAACUAAUAAAUUAAUUUUCAAUGACCCGAUACCAGAUAAUCGAUCAACGAACCAAGUUACCCUGGGGAUAACAGCGCAAUCCACCCUGAAAGCCCUUAUUAACAGGUGGGUUUACGACCUCGAUGUUGGAUCAGGGUAUCCCAGUGGUGCAGCAGCUACUGAGGGUUCGUUUGUUCAACGAUUAAAACCCU
rnacentral:rRNA from 1 species